rnacentral:precursor_RNA from 15 species
CGGUUCCUUCGCCGCUCGGCUUCCGCUUUUCGUGUUCACAGCGGACCUUGAUUUAAUUUCAUACAAUUAAGGCACGCGGUGAAUGCCAAGAGAGAAGCCGGACUCGUACGCCUCUCCC